GAUGAACGCUGGCGGCGUGCCUAACACAUGCAAGUCGAACGGAGAUUACGGACGGAAGUUUUCGGAUGGAAGACUGUAAUUCUUAGUGGCGGACGGGUGAGUAACGCGUGGGCAACCUGCCCUAUACAGGGGGAUAGCAGCUGGAAACGGCUGGUAAGACCGCAUAAGUCGGUUAAAUCGCAUGGUUUGAUCGGGAAAUGAGCAAUCAGGUAUAGGAUGGGCCCGCGUCCGAUUAGCCAGUUGGCAGGGUAAAAGCCUACCAAAGCGACGAUCGGUAGCCGGACUGAGAGGUCGGACGGCCACAUUGGGACUGAGACACGGCCCAAACUCCUACGGGAGGCAGCAGUGGGGGAUAUUGCACAAUGGAGGAAACUCUGAUGCAGCGACGCCGCGUGAGUGAAGAAGUAUUUCGGUAUGUAAAGCUCUAUCAGCAGGGAAGAUGAUGACGGUACCUGACUAAGAAGCCCCGGCUAACUACGUG
rnacentral:rRNA from 1 species